rnacentral:rRNA from 1 species
UACAUGGGGUGCAAACGUUGCUCGGAAUUAUUGGGCGUAAAGCGCGCGUAGGCGGUUACUCAAGUCGGAUGUGAAAGCCCUCGGCUUAACUGAGGAAGUGCACCCGAAACUGAGUAGCUAGAGUACUAAAGAGGGUCGCGGAAUUCCCGGUGUAGAGGUGAAAUGCGUAGAUAUCUGGAGGAAUACCGGUGGCGAAGGCGGCAUCCUGGACCGGCAUUGACGCUGAGGAGCGAAAGCCAGGGGAGCAAACGGG